UACGUAGGGCGCAAGCGUUAUCCGGAAUUAUUGGGCGUAAAGAGCUCGUAGGCGGUUUGUCGCGUCUGCCGUGAAAGUCCGGGGCUCAACUCCGGAUCUGCGGUGGGUACGGGCAGGCUAGAGUGAUGUAGGGGAGACUGGAAUUCCUGGUGUAGCGGUGAAAUGCGCAGAUAUCAGGAGGAACACCGAUGGUGAAGGCAGGUCUCUGGGCAUUAACUGACGCUGAGGAGCGAAAGCAUGGGGAGCGAACAGG
rnacentral:rRNA from 1 species